GAUGAACGCUGGCGGCGUGCCUAAUACAUGCAAGUCGAGCGAACAGACGAGAGUGCUUGCACUCUCUGACGUUAGCGGCGGACGGGUGAGUCACACGUGGGUAACCUACCUAUAAGACUGGGAUAACUUCGGGAAACCGGAGCUAAUACCGGAUAAUAUUUAGCUUCGCAUGAAGCAAUAGUGAAAGACGGUUCUGCUGUCACUUAUAGAUGGACCCGCGGUGUAUUAGCUAGUUGGUGAGGUAACGGCUCACCAAGGCAACGAUACAUAGCCGACCUGAGAGGGUGAUCGGCCACACUGGGACUGAGACACGGCCCAGACUCCUACGGGAGGCAGCAGUAGGGAAUCUUCCGCAAUGGACGAAAGUCUGACGGAGCAAUGCCGCGUGAGUGAAGAAGGUUUUCGGAUCGUAAAACUCUGUUGUAAGGGAAGAACAAGUACGUUAGUAACUGAACGUACCUUGACGGUACCUUACCAGAAAGCCACGGCUAACUACGUG
rnacentral:rRNA from 1 species